ensembl:Mt_tRNA
GGUAGGAUGGCUGAGUGUUAAGCGGUGGAUUGUAGCCCCACGUACGGAGGUUAAAUUCCUCUUUCUACCA